rnacentral:rRNA from 1 species
GUCUACGGCCAUGCCACCCUGAAUGCGCCCAAUCUCGUCUGAUCUUGGAAGCUAAGCAGAGUCAGGGCUGGUUAGUACUUGGAUGGGAGACCACCCAGGAAUACCAGGUGCUGUAGGCU